rnacentral:lncRNA from 1 species
UCUUAGAACAAAGGCUGGGGUCUAUUUGAUUGAAAGCAGAAAGCCCAUUUCUAACUUGCUGAUGCUCUCAAGAUUGGAACUUUUAAAGAAUCCCAUUCUUUGAGAGAGUGAAAUCAUGGGAGUGUUAAUCAUGGCAAAGCUAAGGAUGGCUGGAGGCCUCCAGGAAACAUCUUCCUACUUUAAUCUACUGAGCACUGGGUUGAAAAAGCAAAGCUUAGAUGUGACCCCAAAAGCACAGACAGCAAAAGCAAAAAAAUAGACAAAUGGGGUUGCACUAAACUAAGAAGCUUCUACACAGCCAAGGAAAUAAUUAACAGAGUAAAGAGACAACCUAUGGAAUGGGAGAAAACAUUUGCAAACCAUGUAUCUUUUAAGGGGUUAAUCCCUAAAAUAUACAAAAAAUCCAAACAACUCAACAGUAAGAAAACAAAUAACCCAAUUUAAAAAUGGGCAAAGGACCUGAAUAGACAUUUCUCAAAAGAAGACACAUAAGUGGCCGAAUGAAACACUUCUCAACAUCACUAAUCAUCAAGGAAAUGCAAAUUAAUAUCACAAAGACAUAUGACUUCACACCUGUUAGAAUGGCUGUUAUCAAAAAGACAAAAGAUAGGUCUCACUUUGCCACCCAGGCUGGAGUGUAGUGAUGGGAACACGGCUCACUGCAGCUUCGACCUCACGGGCUCAAGAGAUCCUCCUGUCUCAGUCCCCAAGUAGCUGGGACUACAGGCAUGCACCAUCACACCCGGCCUAACUUCUUCAGAUGUCACUGGUUUACAUGCAUGUGGGUGUGUAGUUCUGUGCAAUUCCUCAUGUGUGCAGAUUCGUGUGACCAUCACAAGUGACAACAGCCAGAACUGCUUCAUGACCACAGGGCAAUGACAUCCCUCAAGUUACCCCUCAGGCUCCAUCCCCAUUCCUAACCCUGAAUAGCCACUCAUGUUCUCCGUCUCUGAUGUUGAUAUUUCAAGCAUGUUAUUUAGAUGGAAUCACACGUUCUCAAAGAACAUUUCUGAGACUGGCUUCUUUCACUCAGCAUGAUUCCCUUGAGAUCCUCCCAAGUUGUCAUGUGCAACAAGAGUCCGUCAUCUUUGCUGCUGAGCAGACCUCCCUGGCAUGGACGGAGCACGGCCGGAGUGGUUUGUUCCACCACUCACCCCUGAAGGAACAUCCAGAUUGUUUCCAGUUUGGGGCUAUCCCCAAGAAAGCUGCCAUGAACAUUCAGGUGCAGGUUUUCAUGUGAACAUAACUUUUCAUUUAUCUAGAAUAAAUGUCCAACGGUGC